AUGGAGAGUUUGAUCCUGGCUCAGGACGAACGCUGGCGGCGUGCUUAACACAUGCAAGUCGAACGAGAAGAGAUGAGAAGCUUGCUUCUUAUUGAUUCGAGUGGCAAACGGGUGAGUAACGCGUAAGCAACCUGCCCUCUAGAUGGGGACAACAGCUGGAAACGGCUGCUAAUACCGAAUACGUUCUUUCUGUCGCAUGGCAGAGGGAAGAAAGGGAGGCUCUUCGGAGCUUUCGCUGGAGGAGGGGCUUGCGUCUGAUUAGCUAGUUGGAGGGGUAACGGCCCACCAAGGCGACGAUCAGUAGCCGGUCUGAGAGGAUGAACGGCCACAUUGGGACUGAGACACGGCCCAGACUCCUACGGGAGGCAGCAGUGGGGAAUCUUCCGCAAUGGACGAAAGUCUGACGGAGCAACGCCG
rnacentral:rRNA from 1 species